rnacentral:rRNA from 1 species
GACGAACGCUGGCGGCGUGCUUAACACAUGCAAGUCGAACGGAAAGGCCCUGCUUUUGUGGGGUGCUCGAGUGGCGAACGGGUGAGUAACACGUGAGUAACCUGCCCUUGACUUUGGGAUAACUUCAGGAAACUGGGGCUAAUACCGGAUAGGAGCUCCUGCUGCAUGGUGGGGGUUGGAAAGUUUCGGCGGUUGGGGAUGGACUCGCGGCUUAUCAGCUUGUUGGUGGGGUAGUGGCUUACCAAGGCUUUGACGGGUAGCCGGCCUGAGAGGGUGACCGGCGACAUUGGGACUGAGAUACGGCCCAGACUGCUACGGGAGGCAGAAGUGGGGAAUAUGGCACAAUGGGCGGAAGCCUGAUGCAGCAACGCCGCGUGCGGGAUGACGGCCUUCGGGUUGUAAACCGCUUUCGCCUGUGACGAAGCGUGAGUGACGGUAAUGGGUAAAGAAGCACCGGCUAACUACGUG